rnacentral:rRNA from 1 species
AACGAACGCUGCGGCGCGUCUUAAGCAUGCAAGUCGAACGGUAAGGGAGAGCUUGCUCUCCCCUAGAGUGGCGGACUGGUGAGUAACGCGUGGGUGACCUGCCCUGAAGAUGGGGAUAGCUAGUAGAAAUAUUAGAUAAUACCGAAUGUGCUCAUUUACAUAAAGGUAAAUGAGGAAAGGAGCUACGGCUCCGCUUCAGGAUGGGCCCGCGUCCCAUUAGCUGGUUGGUGAGGUAAAGGCCCACCAAGGCAACGAUGGGUAUCCGGCCUGAGAGGGUGAACGGACACAUUGGGACUGAGAUACGGCCCAAACUCCUACGGGAGGCAGCAGCUAAGAAUCUUCCGCAAUGGACGAAAGUCUGACGGAGCGACGCCGUGUGAAUGAAGAAGGCCGAAAGGUUGUAAAAUUCUUUUGCAGAUGAAGAAUAAGAAGAAGAGGGAAUGCUUCUU